CCAACAUCCGUCUAUCCGAAAGCAAAUUCUAGAAGGUUUUCUGGUUUUAAUUUAAAAAAUUUAACAAAGCUAUUGGUUUUGGCAUCUUAUUCUUUGCACCGUCUAUAAGAACCCUGCCUUAGUUUUUCACUUUUCGGAUCCAGAUAUCCAUCAUGUGGUUUCAGCUUAAGGAUCUCUUUCUACGGCGGCCGAUUUCUCAAUACAUCUCUUCCUCAGAUCUAUUUUCAACCGAAGAAUUUCAGAUUAAGCUGUUAAAGGCUAUUCUGUGGCUUUGCUUCUCUUUCAUGACCGCUCUAAUCUUGCAACAUCACGUCCAAAACUCUGCCGUUCCUUUUACGGGGUAUGUUGUCUUUGUGAUUUGCGUCAUGUUGUCCUUCACCGGGGCAUAUAGCGCGUUACUUAUCCCAAAAAAGCCCAAACUUGCACUUCUCUGGAGGUGUUAUUUUGUUCUUUCCGUUGUUUCUAUGGCUUCAGCUUUAUCAGUACUCGUAUAUGCCUUGUUUGUGGAAAGUUUCAUCUGGCUUCAUCGUGGAUUAAAUCGUUCUUAAAUGUCACAAAACUUAGCACGGCUCUUUAGACUUUUGGUACUGCAUAAAUUUUACUUUCCGGAACUUUUUUAUUACUGUAAUAUCUUCUCCUUUAUCAAAAGCUCUGGAAGUUAGAUAAAAUUUUAUGCUGUUCAUGGUUGUGAUGAUGUUUCGAGAUUGUUCAAAUGUUUUUUUUUUUCCCGAUUGAAUGACAAGAGUUGUUGUAUUUGUGUGCUAACUGAACUCUAUAAGAUUCAAGUGUGUUUGGGGAUUAAAUUCAAUACCUUCCACCCCAGUAAUGUUUGUGGCUCAAUCUUAGUAGUUUUUAGGCAAUUUAGUUUGUUUUAAUCUUUUUUGCGUUGAGUUUUCUUAAAUUUAUAUAUUUACAAGAAUAUUAGGUGUAAAUGUAUAUAUCUUUAUUUACAAGAAUAUUUUUACCUUUUUAGUAUGAAAAAUUUUGGUUGUAUUUUUAUAUUUUGGUGUUAAACGACUCUAGUAUAUGGUUGCCAACUGGGAGGUUCUGUAUUUUAAAGAUUGCCGUCUUAGGAGACAUAGAGUAUCGAUCUGUAGUACUGUUUGUCACUUAUGGGUUGAUAGGGAUCCGCUAUUGCUGGAGUUGAAUCUAUGCAAACUGAUGAUAAUGGAAAUAUAAGUUGCAUAUACUCAAACUCAGUUGCUUUGGUUGAAACUAUUCAAAUGGAUGAUAAUGGCAAUGAAGAUUUUGAAACUAUUUAAACAGAUGAUUUUUGAAAAGUUACAAGGCAGUCCAUCAGAUUUUGGGAAGCUGUUGGCACUCAUUGCGUAUGCUGCUUGAAUGGAACAUUGGCAAAAAGGUGUGCUGUAUAACUGCAGUGAAUGCAGAUGGGGAAGUUGUUGAGAUGGUUAACCAUCUAAAGCGCUGUCUUUAUUAUGAUCGAGAUAGAAAAUUAUUUCAGAUUAAUUGCUGUGUACAUAUUCUUGAUCUUCUUAUUAAAGAGGGAUUGCCUUGCACAUCUUCAAAUAAUGAUGAUAAUAAAUUCAAUUCACUUUUUGAUAGGUUCCUCCUCCGCCAACUCAAGCUCAUGUUCAUAUUGACCAUGAGAUAAUGGGACAAAUGAGUCAGAAGAGAUCAUAACACUACCUACUCAAAGUGACCAUGAUGAUAGGACGAUGGACUCAGAAGUAGAGAUCUUACCACCACCUCAAACUAAAAGAAGAAAAUUAGUAUCUAAGGUUUGGGUGAUCUUCACCAAGUUUAAGGAUGCAGAUAGAACAGAAUGGGAAAAAUGUGAACAUUGUGGGAAGAAGUAUGUAGCAUCAAUCAAAAAAGGAACCUCAAGCCUAUUGAAACAUAAAGAUAGAUAUCCUAUUCUGAAAAGUGGUAACGGGGAUAAACCUGCUGACGAUCAAGUGAGUGAUGAUGCUGUAACUCCUCUUCUUAGCAAAAACAAUGUGUUUGAUCGACAACAGAGUUGCAUGAUCAUAGCAACAAUGAUUAUUGAGCAUAGGUAUCCAUGCAGUAUGGUUGCUGAGGAAUUCUGAGAACAUUUUCACCAUAGACUGAAACCUUAAUCACAUGGUAGUUUGAAGGCUGACAUACUUCAUAAUUACAAAGAGAAGAAGAAACUCCGCAUAAUUUUUAAUAACAGUCACCUAGUUGUUUCAAUUUAACCAUUAAUUGGUGGAGACCUGUUACACGGGCUAUGUUUUAUUUGACUCUGCAUUUUAUUGACGCUUGUUGGGAACUGAACGCAAAAGUUCUUGCUUUUAAAAGAAUGGAAUUCUGCAACAGUUAUUGGGAGCUUUAUGGAACUUUAAAAGAAUGCUUAUGAAUUGGCACAUUGGCAAUAAUGUGUGCUCUAUAACUGCAAUCAAUACUAAGGAAUGCAAUAAGAUUGUUGAGGAGAUGAAUAAAUGGUUUUCUUAUCAAAAUUUAAUUUCUUUCUGUGGAAAGUUGUUACAUGUUCAAUGCUUUGUGCAUAUUCUUAAUCUUCUUUUUGAGGAUGGAUUACAGGAAGCAAAAAUUAUACUUUGUAAGAUAAUGACCAGAAUUUCUUAUGUCUGGAAGACAGCAAAACAUGAUGAAACUUGCAGAUGGGCAGUAGCUCAUGUGAGGUGCAAAGGCAAGAAGUGACUUCUGAAGAUAUGCCUAUAAGUUGGACUUUUGGUUUUCAAAUGCUAGAGGGAAUGUUAGAGUUGAGAGAACCACAUUUUGUGCUAGAGUGCAUAGAUUUGGGCUUCAGCUCAAAUCCAGUUAAGAAGGAAGGAACGGUAUAAAGUUUCUCUCACUUGGAAGUGUUUAAAGGUUUUAGAUAUUGUUCAGAACUUUUCAAGAAGUAGAUGUCUUACUACAAAUGUGUACCUUCCUCAAGUUUGCAAUUUAUAUCACCACCUGCUUCGAUGGGAUGAUCAAAGUGCCACUCAGAUGUUCUCCCACUGGCAUGUAAAAUGAAGGCAAGAUUUGAAAACUUGUGGACCAACUGCAUUGAGGUUUUAGCAAUUUCUGUAGUUCUUGACGCACAGUUCAAAUUUGAUAUACUGGAGAAUUUGUACAAGAAAAUCUAUGGUGUUGAAGCCAACAACUACUGCACAGGAAUUAAGCUCACUCUUACUAAAGCUUCCAACGAGUAUGCAGGUGGAUUCAAGAAUUCAGCAUAAUCCAUCUGCUUUAGCGUCUGGUGAUACUAGUUCUCUAACCUCAUAUGUUACUAAUCAUUUUGACAUGCUAGACCCCAUGGGAAUGCUGUGCAAUUCAAAUGAUGCUGAAGACGGUUCAUCACAUAAAACAGAACUUGAACAAUUUUUAGAAGAGGCUAAAUUUUGAUCAGUUAAAGACUUUGAGAUUCUUGGUUGGUGGCAUGUCAAUACUCCAAAUUUUCCAACAUUUGUGAAGAUGACCCACGAUUACUUAGCAAUACCUCUGUCAGCUGUUCAGUCAAAUCCCUCAUUAAAUGAUGAUGUUGUGAAGAUUGAUCCAGUCUCCACUGACCUAGAUCCUGAUAUCAUAGAAGCUUUGAUGUGCACAAGGGAUUGUUUUCAACUGCUGAAAGGAAGAACUGAAUUUUCAGGUAAGGUAAGUUUCCACUUUUCUUCUCUAGUAAUUGGUUAUACAAUAGUCCUAUGUGCUGUAUUUCAAAGUCAGAGAGCUUUUGUUAUUUCCUUUUUGUUUGCUUUUACCGUAGACUAGUGCAAAUGCUUAAAGAUUAUAUCAUGAAUUGCUUUUGAAUAACUACAUUGAUGGAAAAAAUUCAUUUGAUUAAUUGAGUUCUGACUGCAUCUGAAUGGACUGGUACUGAAUAAUGCCAGUUACAAGCUUUUCCUCAAAUUUCAUUCAAUGUUUAGUGAUUGCUUCUAUUUCUCUAGCAA